UUGAGAAUUUUACAUUGGUUCUGCAACCUUCUGUGACUGAAGAAAUGACUGCCCUUAAACUCGUGUUUCUCCUUUUCGCUGCCUUAGGCUCAGGUAAAGGAAAUGAUCUGUAUGAAUAUUUACUGAAUUACAAAUAUGGAACUAUGGCAAAACAAGAUCUGUUGAUAGAACACGCAUGAUGAAUGUCCUGAUGGGUGUGGAUGGCAAUGCGAUGGGUGACGUGUCAAGACUGCACAGAUUUUUGAUCUCCUGAAGGGCCUCUUUUCCAAUGAAGACAUCCAGCAACCCAGUGACAACAGUACAUUUCUUGGAAUGUGUGGAGGACGUGACAGUGCCAAGAUUAGAGAUCUGUUGCUUAAUCAAAUGUCAAAAAAUGUACCAGUGCCAACUAUGAAGAUAGAGACUGCCAUUCAGUGCUCUUUUUGCACAUACGUUGUGAGCACACUUGAGUAUCUGUUUCCCGGAGAGAGGACUCAGAGCAUCAUAACUGUGCUGCUGGAGAUUUUGUGCAGUGAGUUUCCUCAUCUGGUUUAGCCACAGUGCAAUAAGUUGGUUGAAAAAUACGUCCAACUGUUGGUUGACAUGCUACUGAACAACACUCUGCUUCGUCUUUGUGAAAUAUGGGUGCAUCCUGUCAACGGUUAGAGUUCAGACUUUGGGUUACAGUAUUUUUUUUUCUUUUGCCUUUGAAUUAACACUUCUGUAACAUUAUUAAAGGAAUAAUUCACAAAAAAUGUUAAUUAUUUUGUUUUGAUUUGUCCCUAUAAACAAAUCUCUUUACCUCCCAUUCUGUUUCUUUAUCCCUCUCUCUUUAAAAAAAACAGAAUAAAAGUUUUCCAGCAUUUGUGUGAAUUUUAACAUCUUACCAUCUGUGCAUUAAUAGCUUGUAUGAAAGGCUGAUGGACCUGCUGGAUCAAAACCACAGUAUUUUUCCUCCUUUCCUAAAUUUUCAUGAUUAAAUUUGCUUUUUAAGUUGAAAAUGAGGGUCACAAAAUCAUAUGCUUGGAUAAUAUCUUAAGCAAACAAGAUAAAAUACAAACACAUAUAAAAACAAGUUUUUUGUUAUUUUAA